GAUGAACGCUGGCGGCGUGCCUAAUACAUGCAAGUCGAGCGAACAGACGAGGAGCUUGCUCCUCUGACGUUAGCGGCGGACGGGUGAGUAACACGUGGAUAACCUACCUAUAAGACUGGGAUAACUUCGGGAAACCGGAGCUAAUACCGGAUAAUAUAUUGAACCGCAUGGUUCAAUAGUGAAAGACGGUUUUGCUGUCACUUAUAGAUGGAUCCGCGCCGCAUUAGCUAGUUGGUAAGGUAACGGCUUACCAAGGCAACGAUGCGUAGCCGACCUGAGAGGGUGAUCGGCCACACUGGAACUGAGACACGGUCCAGCCUCCUACGGGAGGCAGCAGUAGGGAAUCUUCCGCAAUGGGCGAAAGCCUGACGGAGCAACGCAGCGUGAGUGAUGAAGGUCUUCGGAUCGUAAAACUCUGUUAUUAGGGAAGAACAAAUGUGUAAGUAACUAUGCACGUCUUGACGGUACCUAAUCAGAAAGCCACGGCUAACUACGUG
rnacentral:rRNA from 1 species